UACGUAGGGUGCGAGCGUUAAUCGGAAUUACUGGGCGUAAAGCGUGCGCAGGCGGUCCGCAAAGUCUGAUGUGAAAGCCCCGGGCUCAACCUGGGAACUGCAUUGGAAACUAACGGGCUCGAGUGUGGCAGAGGGGGGUGGAAUUCCACGUGUAGCAGUGAAAUGCGUAGAGAUGUGGAGGAACACCGCUGGCGAAGGCAGCCCCCUGGGCUAACACUGACGCUCAGGCACGAAAGCGUGGGGAGCAAACAGG
rnacentral:rRNA from 1 species